GGUUCUAUCUUUCAUAUCACUAAUUGUGGUUAUCUUUGUUUAAUAGGUAUGUGUUUGGAAACUAUCAUUAAUUUUUGUUGCCUUCUAUGUACAAUUUGAACCCAUUUGUUUGUGGUUAGGUUUUUUAUUUGGAAUAACAACUGAGAUGAUUAGUUGUGUGAAUAGAUAUAUUCCCUAGCAUUAUUAUGUUGUUUAAACAUUAACCUCACUGUAUCGUAUUAUGUUGAAUUUCAUCCUCAUUGAAUUCUAUUCUAAAUGGCUAAGUUUCCCUUCGUGCUUUGGGUUAAGUUGGGUAGGUGAUCGAAUUGUGAGGAAUUAUCCCUUUUAAGUUGCUGUAAUUUAUUGCAAUGCUGUGCCCUUUUGUUUAAGGCAAAAUUUUUACAAUCAUAGAUGUGUUUAUAUAUAAUCUUUUCAACCUUUGGAGUCAGAUGAGUACGAAAAUUAGCAAUGUACAGACAAUCAAAGAUUCCUUUGCUCAAUUUAGUUUUGAAGUUUAGGUUUAAAUUCUCUGCUCUCACUCAUUAGUCAAAACCAGAGCAUUCUGAUCUUGUCUAUUAGUUGUCAUCACGUGUGGAACAGAAUAAUGUAGGUGACAAUUCAACAAAUGUGUUAUAUGUAUUGGAUAUAAAAUUUCAGAGUUACCGAGAAAGAUCCUUUUUGUUGGUUUGUAACACUUCUUUGGCUAUUUUGUUUUGGCUCAGUUAAGGGGAAGGAGACAUAAGUAAGGUUGUAAAAUUUAAUUCAAUUUUUCACUAUCCAUAUGCCAUCUUUUCAACUUCAUCAUCAAAGUUCAUAUUGAAUGUCAUCUCUGCAGCUCUUCUAUCCCAAUAAUAGAUUCUGUAGGAUUUCGUUUUCUUUUUCAACUCUUAUUGAUCAUUAAUUCUAAAUGUGAAAAAUAUUGCAAGAAGAAAAAUGUUAAUAAAUUAUAACUGUUUAGGCCAAUCAAAUGGUCUUACUGGCAACUAAUUGCGAGGUACUACUAGAGAGGCUAAAAGAAUGAAAAUAAAAGAAGAUCUAAUGUAUAUUAUAAAAGAACCAAAUUUUAUAUCAAUUAAUGUUGCCCGAACUUGGUACAAGGAAGAUCCUUUCAUUUUUUCAACACAACCCAUUCAAGUGUUCUAUAUGGAUGGCUUGAAACAAGGAGCCAACUGGAAAGUUGUACAAAAGGCCACUCCUCGUCAUAUAUGGGAUUUAGUUGAGAGCGCUGAUGAGUGUAAUAAUGAUGAUGAAGAAAUUGACAAUUCUAGUAUUGUUCAACAAGAUAGCUCAUCUACGGAUGUUCGACUUUUGAUUGAAGAUGAUGAUUUGGACAGUAGACUCUAUGUUUGUAUUGAUGUUCCACUUGAACAAGUAGAUGAGGAAAACAUCGAUGUAUUUGACAUGGAAGAGGACUUCCAGUUUGAAGUUGAUGACAUGGAUGAUGAGAAAGAUUUCGAAAUAUCUGAUACGGAGUUAGAAUUCAUUUUCGAUGGUGAUAGCGAUUGAUGUCACUGCCAUAUAUUAAUCCAUAGUUUCUUUUCAUGAUCAUUAUAAGACUCCUUGUUAUGCAUUAUGAUAUUUUCCGUCUUCACUAUUAUUUUACAUAUUUUGUAGGUGUUAAGGCAAAUUUGUUGUCAAACAACCUCCUCGGGCUAUGAUGUUACUCGGUUUAAUUUUUCAGUCGGCCUAGUCAAAUGACUGAACCGGAAUCCAACACCACAUUCGAGACAAUACGACCCAAAGGUUAAUUGGGCCACUCGAAGCAACCUAAAUACUUUAGUGUUGCUCGUGGCCCAAUCCACUCCCUUGGAUGGCCUUUAAUUGAGAGAAAAGCUUGUGAGACCACUUAACUAUCUUUUGGGCCUUUAACCUAACCCAUUAGUUAACCUACUUAAACUUACCUUAUUUGGGCUAUUGGUAAAAAGGUUAAAUUGGCUUCUUUUCUCUCUAAGUGAGAGAUGUCUGACCCCUCUCUCUCUCGGCCAUUCUGUGAUUUCUCUUCUACUCUUCUGCCUCUUUGUGGAUACCAUCUUAGUGGUGAUGUUAAAUGAGAUUUCUUCUACCUUUGUGAUCUCAAUAGUGGAAUAUCUCAUUGAAAAUCGGAAGUGGAACUUGGUAUUGUCUUAGUUCGUAGUUGUCGGCUUUGUGGUGUUGAAAGUACCCGUAUUAACUUACCUGGGUUUUCUUUGGUGAUCAAUACUAUCACCUUACAUCUGGUAUCAGAGCUUAGGACUUCAAUUUCUGUCAAAAGGGUUCAAAAUCGAGAGAAAUAGGCCCUAAUCUCCAAAUUGAACGAACCCAAUUCUUCCAAUUACUCCCAAACCCGACCUUAUUUGGACAAACGGAGCCCAGAUCGAUAACUAGCAGGUCGAGGCACCCCCUGUGAGAUGGCUCAUGGUGGUGACGACGGCGGCGUGCGGGAGGCCCUGCAACGUAGUUUUUUCUGUCAUUUCGUUUAUUUCAUUUUCCUGAACACUUUGAUGUGUUUGGUUUAGUGUUUCAGGUUGAGUAGGAAAAGUUGGAUGAUUUUGCCCCUAACUUCAAUCUGCAUUUGUUGCUGAUCAGAAUUGUUAUAUUUGCUGAAUCUUUAGGGCGAAUAGUGGUGGCCCUAAAGUAGCAAAUUCACAUCUCUCCACAUUACGAACUCGGAUAGGUCCGCUCUAGUAAAUUGGCUGAAACUUUUACAUUUUUGCACUAGUAGAUCAUCGUGUGGGGUGAUCAUUAGAUUUGGGGGUUGUCAUUGCUUGAAAACCAUUGCUUGUGUUGAAAAUUAGGGUUACGUGCUCUUAAUUGUUUGAUUGAGUAAAUCAGUAUUUAAUUCUUAGUGAUAUAAUUGUCGUGAAACUGAUUAUUGGUUAGACGUAAUUCUCUGUUGCAUUGUUAUUUCUGCUACUUAUUAAUUUCGUUAGAAUUACAAUAACUUUACCCGUUUCGAACAUUCCCUUGAUCUAAGACUGUGAGUCUUACGAAACCCUGGGAAUCUAGAACGGCGUAUAUUGUUUGUGACUCUAGGACUACUUUGUGUUGUUUGAUUGUGUUUUGUGCAUUCUUUAACUGUUGUGUGAAGAUGACAACUCACAACUUUGAUUUGAAGAUUUUUAACGGAAAGGGUGACUUUUCUAUUUGACAACAAAAAAUGAAGGGUAUUUUAGUUCAACAAAAGGUUUCAAAGGCUAUUGAAGGUAAUUUUUCAACUGAUUUUUCAAAAGAACAAAGAGAAGAAGCCGAUGAGCUUGCUUACACCUCAAUCAUUUUAUAUUUGUCUGACGCUGUUUUAAGAAAGGUGGAUAAACUGAAAACCACUAAAGAACUUUGGAAAAAAUUAGAAAACUUAUAUUUGCUUAAGUCUACACCGAAUAUACUCUACUUGCUCGAACAUUUUUUCAAUUUUAAAAUGGAUCCUUCAAAGGAUCUCGAUGAUAAUUUAGAUGUGUUUAACAAGUUGGUACAGGGUAUAGUUAAUUGUGAUGAGGCUGUGUUCGAAACUUAUAAGGCUAUAAUUUUGCUCAAUGUGAUCCCUGAUUCUUAUAAGAAAGUUAAGAACACCAUUAAGUAUAGUAGAGAUACGUUAACACUUGAAAUUGUCAUAGACUCCCUUAGGAACAAAGAAAUGGAAAUUAGGGCUGAAAAACACGAUAAGAGGAGCGGUGAGUUACAUAUGAUGUGGGGUAGAACUUAAUUUAGGCAAAAUAGUGAUGAUGGAUAUCAAAGUGGUGGCGAGUUAAGUGGCAGUGGAUGGAAAAAGAAGGGCAAGGGUAGAUCUAGAUCAAAAUCUAGGACGAAGGCCAGAAAAUGUUAUGGCUGUGGAAACACAGGGCAUUUUAUAAAAAAUUGUCAUAAAGAAAAGGGCAAGUUAAAGAUUAAGGAAAGAGAUGAGGUAAAUGUGUUAUCCUCUACAUUUGAGAUAGAUAACGAUGAGGUCUAUAUGCUUACAAGUUCAGUUGCAUACGCUGUUGAAUUGAAUCUAACUGCUAAUUCCCGUAUGCAUGAGUGGAUACUUGAUUCUGGUGCAUUGUUCCACGUGACGUCUGAAAAGAAUUGGUUUUAUAAUUUGUAUGAAUCUAACGUUGGGCAUGUUGUGCUGUGUGAUAACUUUGCCUAUACUAUUGCUGGAAUUGGUAACAUAAACGUAAAAUUUGACACGGAUUUUGUGUACGCGUUAAAAGAUGUUAGAUAUAUUCCUAAAUUGUCUAGGAAUUUGAUUUCCGUAGGGAGACUUGAAAAGGAUGACUUCACUAGUAAAAUUGGAAAUAGUAUGCUAAAAAUGAUUAAGGGUGCUUUAGUUUCCAUUAAGGGAACUAAGAAAAACGACAUUAAUAUUACUACUGGGAAAGUGAUUAGAGGUUUGAACUCCUCUAACUCUUCUGUCAAGAUUGAUCACACACACACACAUGAAAUAAUAGACUUACACACGUAGGCAUUAAGGGAUUUAAGUUACUUAAUGAAAAAGGUGCAUUUAGUGACUGUUUGUCAGAUUUGUCAUUUUGUGAUCACUGUGUGCUUAGUAAGCAUCAUAAACUUUGUUCUCCACGAGUGUUCAUAAAGCUAAAGGCAUGCUUGAAUAUGUGUAUUCUGAUCUGUGGGAUACUGCUAGUAAUCCCACAUUGGGUGGAAAUAGGUAUUUCCUGUCUAUUAUCGAUGACUAUAUUAGGAAAGUGUGGGUCUAUAUGUUGAAAGAUAAAUCCGAGACUUUUCAUAAUUUUAAUAACUGGAAGAGACAAGUGGAAAACCAAACUAGUAAGAAAAUCAAAAUUUUAAGGAUAGAUAACGGCCUAGAAUUCUGCAAUACGGAAUUUGAUAGUAUGUGUAAAGAAAAUGACAUAACUAGACACAAGACUAUUCCUUACACUCCCCAGCAAAACGGGGUAGUGAAAAGGAUGAAUAGGAUUAUACUUGAUAAAGUACGUUGCAUGAUGUUAAGUUCUAGUGUCCCUAAGUUGUUUUGGGGUGAGGCUGUUAUGAUUGCCUAUUAUUUGAUUAAUUUGACUCCAGCUGCAUUAAAUGGUGACACUCAGUAUAAGAGAUGGUCGGGUAAAUUGAGUGAUUACUCUAUGCUUAGAACUUUUGGCUGUACUGCUUUUUCUCAUCAGAAUGAGGGAAUGCUGGAAUCUAGAGCUAGGAAGUGUGUCUUUCUAGAAUACCCCGAGGGUAUUAAGGGUUAUAGGUUAUGGGAUAGAAGCCAAAAAGGGGUUAGGAUUAUCAUAAGUAGAGAUGUCACGUUUAACGAGAAUGAGAUGCCGUGUAUUAAAGGGGAAACCGAAUCUGAGAGUGAAACUGAACUAGGUGAAGAGAGAGACUAAUUUAAGGUGGAGUUAGGAAAACUUAGUACAUCUACCCCUACUGCUUCUAAUGGGGUGGAGAUUCAAGUUCAGGAACCUGAAGUGGAAAAUAGUAACGAAGUAGUGAUAGAAGAACACCCUAAGGAAGAAAAUUCAUUAGCUAAUUAUAAUCUAGCUAGAGAUAGAGAGAGGAGACAGACGAGAGAACCUAGAAGGUUCGGUUUUGAAUCUGAAAUAACUUUUGUCCAUGCUAGUUAUGAAAAACUAGCUGAUAAAGAGCCAAAAACCUUUGAAGAAAUGAUAGGUAGUGAUCAAUCUAAGGAGUGGUUUAAGGCGAUGAAAGAAGAGAUGAGUUCUCUAGAAAAGAAUCAGACUUGGGAACUGGUACCUAGACCUAAAAACAAAUCGAUCGUCGAUUGCAAAUGAGUUUUUAAGAUUAAGGAAGGUACUAGUAGUUCGGAACCCUUAAAGUUUAAAGUUAGGUUAGUAGCUAAGGGUUACACAUAAAAGGAUGGCGUUGAUUAUAAUGAGAUUUUUUCACGAGUUAUUAAGUAUACCACUAUUAGGGCCAUGUUUGCUUUGGUUGCGCAUUUUAACUAGGAACUUGAACAACUUGAUGUAAAAAUUGCUUUUUUACAGGUGAGUUUGAUGAACAAAUAUUCAUGAAUCAACCAAAAGGUUUUAAGGAUAAAUCAAAACUUGAUUACGCGUGUUUUCUGAAAAGGUCCCCAUAUGGCUUAAAACAAUUACCUAGAUAGUAGUACAAGAUGUUUGAUUCCUUUGUACUCACCAUAGGGUUCUAAAGAAAUAAAUUUGAUCAUUGCCUAUAUUUUCAACAUAACGAGACUGAUAAUAAUUAUCUAUUUUUGUUGCUCUAUGUGGACGACAUGUUUUUGAUUGGUUAUUCUUCUAAGUGGAUAAACAGCAUAAAAGCAAAACUAAGUGGUGAAUUUGACAUGAAAGACCUAGGUAAGGCUAAGAGAAUUCUAGGUAUGGAAAUAAAAAGAGAUAGGUCAAUACUAAGGUACUUGAAAGGUACGGGUGACGUAGGUUUAAAGUUCAGUGUUAAUAAGAAAGGUGUGAAAUUGAAGGAUUUUGUAGAUGCUGAUUAUGCGGGAGAUAGGGAUGGUAGGAAAUCGACUUCCUCUUACAUGUUUACCUUAUCAAAUUCAUGUGUUAGUUGAAAAUCACAGUUACUACACAUUGUUGCACUAUCUACCACUGAAUCUGAGUAUAUUGCUACUAGUGAAGCAAUUAAAGAGGCCUUAUGGUUUAGAGGUUUACUUCAUGAACUAUGUGUCUUGAAUGAGUGUGGUUGUGUAUUUUGAUAGUCAGUCAUCCAUACAUUUAUGUAAGAACCCUGUUUUUCACGAACGCACUAAACACAUUGAUGUUAGACUACACUUUAUUAGAGAUAUAGUAUCUCAAGAGGUGGUGAAACUUGAAAAAGUUCACACACAAUACAAUCCUUUAGAUAUGAGCACGAAGGUGCUGCCACUGGUAAAAUUUAGAAGUUGCAAGGAUCUUCUAAACAUUGGUACAUGUAAAUGAUUUCCAAUUUUAUCGAUUUUCUAUUAGAGGUGUUACUAAUGGAAGGCGUUUUCUUUUUGCAGGUCCUUUGACACCAAGGUGGAGGUUGUUAGACAAAUUUGUUGUCAAACGACCUCCCUCGGGCUAUGAUGUUACUCGGUUUAAUUUUUCAGUCGGUUUAGCCAAAUGACUGAACGGGAAUCCAAUACCACAUUCAAGACGAUACAACCCAAAGGUUAAUUGGGCCACUCGAAGCAACCUAAAUACUUUAGUGUGCUCGUGGCCCAAUCCACUCCCUUGGAUGGCCUUUAAUUGAGAGAAAAGCUUGUGAGCCCACUUAACUAUCUUUUGGGCCUUUGACCUAACCCAUUAGUUAACCUACUUAAACUUACCUUAUUUGGGCUAUUGGUAAAAAGGUUAAAUGGGCUUCUUUUCUCUCUAAGUGAGAGAUGUCUCACCCCUCGCUCUCUCUUGGCCGGUUUUCUAUGAUUUCUCUUCUACUCUUCUGCC
rnacentral:lncRNA from 1 species